GGGUGCGAUCAUACCAGCAUUAAUAUACUGGAUCCCAUUAGAACUCUGCAGUUAAGCGUGCUUGGACGAGAGUAGUUUUAGGAUGGAUGACCUCUUGAAAAGUGAUAAAAGUUUUACGGUUU
rfam:Beta vulgaris subsp. vulgaris chromosome 6, whole genome shotgun sequence.